CUCGCUCUGUAGGAUUUGAACCUACGACAUCAGGUUUUGGAGACCUGCGUUCUACCAAACUGAACUAAGAGCAAAAAAGAAGGAUCACGCUCUGUAGGAUUUGAACCUACGACAUCAGGUUUUGGAGACCUGCGUUCUACCAAACUGAACUAAGAGCGC
rnacentral:tRNA from 2 species